rnacentral:rRNA from 1 species
GUGGGGAAUAUUGGGCAAUGGACGCAAGUCUGACCCAGCAACGCCGCGUGAAGGAAGAAGGCUUUCGGGUUGUAAACUUCUUUUAAGGGGGAAGAGUAGAAGACGGUACCCCUUGAAUAAGCCACGGCUAACUACGUGCCAGCAGCCGCGGUAAUACGUAGGUGGCAAGCGUUGUCCGGAUUUACUGGGUGUAAAGGGCGUGUAGCCGGGAAGGCAAGUCAGAUGUGAAAUCUGGAGGCUCAACCUCCAAACUGCAUUUGAAACUGCUUUUCUUGAGUAUCGGAGAGGUAAUCGGAAUUCCUUGUGUAGCGGUGAAAUGCGUAGAUAUAAGGAAGAACACCAGUGGCGAAGGCGGAUUACUGGACGACAACUGACGGUGAGGCGCGAAAGCGUGGGGAGCAAACAGGAUUAGAUACCCUUGUAGUCC